GCGCUCAUGCACGAUUUGUUUAUCUAGCUCACGCGUAACAAAUUUCCUUCCUGUGCUUUUACUUCGAAUACUUUUUACUCAGUGGACAGUAAAUUAGAGAUUCGAGAAAUGCUGGUUUAUAUUCUGUUGUCAAUUAUAGCUGAUAUUGUGUGUGGUCAGGACCCUUGUUCUGAGGGUGUUUACAUGAUGCUUCCUGGACUAUCCAAUAGAAGUCCAAAGUUUGAGGGAGAUUCAGUUCCUCUUUGCGAUAGAUAUCUUACCAUGAGAUGGUAUCGGGCAGGAACCUCUCAUCAGAUACCAACGACUCCACCCACCCUUUUUUCCUGCGGAACAUUGUACCCCUACU